GGAGACGUGGCAGAGAGGUUUAAUGCACCACUUUCGAAAAGUGGCAUACCGAUCAGGUAUCGUGAGUUCAAAUCUCACCGUCUCCG
rnacentral:tRNA from 1 species